rnacentral:rRNA from 1 species
GUAGGUGGCAAGCGUUGUCCGGAAUUAUUGGGCGUAAAGCGCGCGCAGGCGGUCCUUUAAGUCUGAUGUGAAAGCCCACGGCUCAACCGUGGAGGGUCAUUGGAAACUGGGGGACUUGAGUACAGAAGAGGAAAGCGGAAUUCCAAGUGUAGCGGUGAAAUGCGUAGAGAUUUGGAGGAACACCAGCGGCGAAGGCGGCUUUCUGGUCUGUAACUGACGCUGAGGCGCGAAAGCGUGGGGAGCAAACAGGAUUAGAUACCCUGGUAGUCCACGCCGUAAACGAUGAGUGCUAAGUGUUAGGGGGUUUCCCGCCCCCCUUAGUGCUGCAGCUAACGCAUUAAGCACUCCGCCUGGGGGAGUACGGCCGCAAGGCUG